AUUGAACGCUGGCGGAAUGCUUUACACAUGCAAGUCGAACGGCAGCACGGGGGCAGCCCUGGUGGCGAGUGGCGAACGGGUGAGUAAUACAUCGGAACGUGCCCGGUCGUGGGGGAUAACGUAGCGAAAGUUACGCUAAUACCGCAUACGAUCUGAGGAUGAAAGCGGGGGACCUUCGGGCCUCGCGCGAUCGGAGCGGCCGAUGUCAGAUUAGGUAGUUGGUGGGGUAAAGGCCUACCAAGCCGACGAUCUGUAGCUGGUCUGAGAGGACGACCAGCCACACUGGGACUGAGACACGGCCCAGACUCCUACGGGAGGCAGCAGUGGGGAAUUUUGGACAAUGGGCGCAAGCCUGAUCCAGCCAUUCCGCGUGCAGGACGAAGGCCUUCGGGUUGUAAACUGCUUUGUACGGAACGAAAAGGCUCUGGCUAAUACCUGGGGCUCAUGACGGUACCGUAAGAAUAAGCACCGGCUAACUACGUG
rnacentral:rRNA from 1 species